UAAAGGCGCCGUCCGGGCCCCGCCGUCCACUCCCCUCCCUUCCCCUCCCCUCCCCGCAGCCCCUCGGCGCUCGCGGCCGUCAGCGCGGCGCCGCCAUGGCGCUGGAAGCGGAGGCUGCCGGGGCUCCCCUCGGCUCCUUCCUCAGGGACUUCCCGUCCGCUCUGGGCCCGGGGGAGCCGCUGCCGUGGAGCUCGGCGUGGAGCGGCGCCCUGAGCGAGGCCGAGGCGCCGGGCGCGCUGGCCGAGUUGGCGGGGAACCUCCUGGGCGGCAGCAGAGGUAUUUCGCCACUCCUUGCAGCAUCAGUGAUCCACACUGCAGUUGAUGAAGUUCUCCGAACAGAUUUGACUAAAUUUAAGAGGGAAAGUGUGGAAAGACAGGGAGAAGGCGAGGAGGAAAGAUUCACCUUGCUGGACGGAGAGUCGCUGCAGCGCUGCUUCUUUAACAGACUUCGGGAUGUCUGCUUUGAAUGGCAGAAGCAGUCGCCACCGCUGAGACCACUGAAGCGUUUCCUGCUUGUUUCCACCCAUGCCAUCCGUAACACUCGACGGAAAAUGGAGGACCGCCAUGUUAUCCUCAUGGAGUUCAAUCAGCUGUUUGGCUUAGCAGAUGACAUCGAUCGUGCUUACUUUGCGAUAUUUGAUGGCCAUGGUGGAGUGGAUGCUGCCAAUUAUUCAGCAACACAUUUACAUGUAAAUGUGGGGCUGCACCAGGAGAUUGUUAAGAAUCCAGCUGAGGCCUUGAAAUGCUCUUUCCAGAAGACAGAUGAAAUGUUUCUUUUCAAAGCUAAAAGAGAGAGGCUGCGGAGUGGCACAACAGGUGUAUCUGCAUUGAUUGUAGGGAACAAGCUACACAUAGCAUGGCUAGGGGACUCGCAGGUAAUGCUUGUGCAGCAAGGAAAUGCUGUGACGUUAAUGGAACCUCACAAACCAGAGAGAGAGGAUGAGAGAGCACGUAUUGAGGCUCUGGGUGGAUGUGUAACCUACAUGGACUGCUGGCGGGUUAAUGGCACUUUGGCUGUUUCCAGAGCAAUUGGUGAUGUGUUUCAAAAGCCUUACAUCUCUGGUGAUGCAGAUGGAGAUUCGUUUGACCUGACUGGUUCUGAAGAUUACUUGCUUCUAGCCUGUGAUGGAUUCUUUGAUGCUGUCAAGCCAUAUGAGGUUGUAGACUUAGUCCUAGAUCAUUUAAUGCAAACCAAAGGAGUGGGUCUCAAAGCAGCAGAAAGACUGGUGGCUGCUGCGAAGGAAAAUGGCUCCAAUGACAACAUUACUGUUCUAGUGGUGUUCUUGAGGGAUCCACAGGACAUCUUGGCAGACUGUCUCAGAGACACUAAGAGCCUUGAGACUGGGGAUGAUGCUCGGAGCUCACCCUUUAAUUUCCUCAGCUGUGAGGCAGCAGCCACACAGUGACAAAAUCUGCUUAAUCCAGAAGGUUUAAAAGUUUGCUUAAGGAACUGCUUUCCACUGAAGUAAGCCUCUAAUACAAUAGGCAAAAUGCGUCAGGAAAAAUGACAAAUGGACAAACAUUUAACAAAAAGGAAAGUCUCCUUUUACUGAGUUCCCAUUUGUCUUUUCUUUCUCUUUCCCUCCAUUCAAAAAACCCUGGAGAGCCAUGGAGAUUCGUACAGCUCUCUUGUCUGUGGGAGUGGAAUUCUAAAACAUGUCCCAGGACUGCUGCCAUAUCCUUCUGCCCUGGGGUGGCAAAAAGUGCACAGUUUUGGUGAUGCAUGGCACUUCUCCUAAAAAAUGUCCUGCAAAGAAUCUCUGCCUGCCAUCUGAUGUAUCCAAGAAACUGAGUUCCUGUCUGCUGCCUAUUUCUGGAUUAACCCAACACGAACUGAUGAAGACCCUGGACUUGCAUGAUUCUGCAGAAUGCGCAGAAGUAUUUGCCAAGAGAAUCCCAAACUACUGCGAGGACCCAAGCUUGUGUUGGAUUCUAAUAAGCCUGUCCAGGUAGGGUGUUGCUGUCUUGUACAGUGCCUCACAAAUCUCAACGAUUCCAAACAAUUUCUGUGUGUGGAAACUGAGUUUUGUACUACGUUGUAAGCACCCAUCUUAACCCUGCUAGAGCAGAGCAGCCCUUUUUCUAGCAGAAACCAGAGCUGUUGUUGAUUAACGUCUUGCUGAAAACGAAGUCUUUGCCAUCUGUUCCGCCCCCUCACUACGAAUGCCACUCUCAUUAUGUUGAUUAUGUAAUUAAAAAUGAAAAUAUAUUUUGGUAGAGUGCUGCAUAAGCAUCUGUGCUUAUUCUUCUGCCUCCUGCCCCACCUCAUACAGAAGAGGAAAGACAACAAUUGUUCCACUCGCCAGUGCUUUAUGUUGAAGCUGUCGCGCUGGCUGCCAGACCGGAGCACGUCAUGGGAGCAGCCACUUGAGCCCUGCUGGGUCUGAGCUGCGGCUCCUUCGGAAACCCCGGCUAUUAGGUUCAUGAGAAAUCUGUGGCAGGAAGCUGACCCUUAAACUGAGGCUCCUUUAAGUUCUUGUGAUGGGUUAACUUGAAUCCAGAACAUGAAAAGUGAACAGAAGGAGGCCUGGCUACUUCAUAAGUGAUGGUGUGACCUCUGAGAUUAGCGGGGCUGCUCACCUUACAAAUAUGGCCUGUCUAUCUAAGGAUGGAGGAAGAGAAAGAGAGGAGGGGUAGCCUUCUUGGGUUAGAGCAAUUACUGAGGUCUCUUACAGCAAAUGAAGUUGUUAGUGUGACUCACGUUCCCUUUUAUUCCUCUUGCUGCCAAGUUUUAAGCAGUAACCAGACAGGGAAGAAAAAAAAGAGAAAAGCAACAAUGGAGAAGAGUUGAACUGAAACAACCCUUCAUUCAGGGUAUUGUUUGACAUUUUAGUUCUGAUUGUACAUAGAGAUAAAGGACCUAUAAAUAUCCUGUCUGCUGAAAUUCCUUAUAGCAACAUCGCCUGUCAGCUGAACAAAUAGGGUAGGUUCUCUAAAUGCUACCUAAUUACACAUGUAAAUACAAAUUACCGAUUAUCUCCCUGCACCGCAUGGAAUGAAGACCCGAUCGCUGGGAGGGAUGUUAAUCUCCCGUUUUACUGAGAGAUGCCCCAGUCCCAGGAGAGCAAAUGGUGCACAGCUGUUACUGCUGAAUCGGUGCAAGAUCCGAGACCAGACUGAGCCAGGCAAGGAGAUGUUUAUCUGGCUGGUGAGCGCAGAUGAAAGCCUCUUCUGAUGCUUCUGAAAGUAUCUCAGCAUUUAGUUCUGUUUAACAAAUGGCUGGAAGCUUUUCUACUCUGCUUCAGAGCUUUUAAUGAAGCAUUGUGAUUCCCAUUGUGGUCGAUUGUUUGACAGUUUUAUUAUUACUGGUACGCAUCGCGUUUUUUAAUGUUUGACAGCUGGAGAAAGAAGUAUUUUGUGCAUUCAAAUUUUUAGUACAAAGCUGCUGUUUUCUAUUCUGCCUUUGCCUUUGUCUCAUUGCUGAUGCAAAUCAAUGAAAGACAGAACUGAUGAAAUUACAUCUGUUUACUUUUCACUUGAUAAUAAUGAGACACAGCCAGCCCUUUGUAAAAGACAGAAAUGGGGGAUGUGAAUGUUUCUACAGUAUUUCUAUAAGGUGUUUUUUUUUUCUUACGAUAUAAAGACAUUUAUUUGUUUCUUAUGUCUUGAUUUAUAAGAUAAUGUGCACUUCCUAAUGUGUGUGGAAUAAGAAUGGAGCUAUGAAUGACAGCAAUGGAUUCCAAUUGAAAAUCUCUUAGCUUGUUACUUUUAUCAAUUCAACAACACAAAUGAUCGUAGCACAUUGCAAAACAAACACCAAGAUAGUUCUGUGCUUUACAGUAGGACUGCCUCUGAUCACUGCUGUACAUCUGUGUACAGCUACACAAAAAAAUCCAGUCCGCUGGCUUUCGCUUUAUACACACGUGAUUGUUGCGAGGCCCCAGCUUUGAUACACUGGUACGAUAUUGGAAAGAAACAAGCUGCAGAAAUCAGAUACCCAUGGUCGUUUUGGUGAGUAAUGUGCGUGUCUUGUGGAUUGUGUAAUGCAUUUUCUCGGGGGGGUUUUGAAUGCUUGCCCUUAGGAAAGAGGCCUACAUUUGUCUGCCUGACUUGUGCAGCAUGCUCGUGUUUUUGCAUGUACAUUUCUAGGUGUUCAUAGCUGCAACAGAAAGGUUUUGGGAGAGGUAAAAGGCAGAAAAAGGAGAGGAAGAUGAGCAGAAGGGAGGUGGUAAGGGAGGCACUUACACAACUGCUCUCCUGAUGACUGUUUCCUGUGUUUUGGCCAGAAAGGAGAAAAGAGCAUCAAAGGAUGGUAAAGCCAACAGAGGUGUCUGAAGGCUUCUCAGCAGGGGAGCCAAAUUUCCCUGCUUCAGAGGCAAAGCGAGACUCAAGAGUGCUAUCACAUGGCAGCUGAGCCAAACCCAAUGAAUUGCGAGUAUCAAAAAGGACAGCCCUACUGCUCUCUUUUGGUGCAGGUCUGGUGCUUGUCUGACCCUUUGAUGAGUAUAUGCAGCUCAAUAAAUUUAAGAAAAUGAAUUCAGCAAAAAAAUAGUGAAGCUAUCAGCCACGGAAGGGAGGAGGGGCAGACUCUUGCGAGAGUCAAAACUGGAGCUGCAGUGGUAGGGAGAGGUAUGGAUAUCAGAUUUUUGCUGCAGAUUUGGGGUGUGCUGGAGGAUGUCUUGCUGCUACCCUACCCUUAACCUUCCUCUUCAUCUCCUAGGUGGUGCCUUCCCUCAGAGGAGGAUGCCCUGAAUACGGAGUGAUUAAGAAGGAUGCCUGGACAGGUGAAGGGAGCUGGCGGUGGCAGUGUGCACGGCAGAGGAGGGAGCGAAUUGCUGCAGGACUGCAGGAGCCCAGGAGGAUCUUGCCAUGGGUAAGAGUAGUGGAAGAACUGAGGAGGAAAGAGGAUGCACUCAAAGCGACUGCAGAAAGCUGCUACAACAAGCACUGAGAAAACACUGGAAUACAGAGCAAUGGUCCCAUUUUGCCAAUCUAGCUCUUAAAGGGUUAUGCUAAUGUAUCCAGGUAGCGGUUCCUGAAGGAAGAGUCCUGUACAUCUCCCUUACUUAGGCAUGCAUUGGUCCAAAUUGGGUUUUGACAAGAGGACAGCAGCUGGAUUUUUAUUAUCUGAGACAAGCAAUGAUAUUAGCUGUUCAGAGUUCAUGAUGGAAAUGUAUCUGCAUGCUGGCGUGCAUCCAGCUGCACUUCACAAAGGUAAAUGGGACACGAGAGUGGUGCACUGCUCCCUUUUAAUCCAUUUGCUGUAGAAGGGGGUACUCUGCCUCUCUGCAGGAAGGCUGGCAGAACUAGUGUGCUAAUGAACACACAUUUCUUGCUGCAGCAUAUGGGCUCCCCAGAUUCAUAAACCCAAGCAAUUAAUAGAUGAAUUACAAUAUCCACACACACUUUGUUGCAGUCUGGUGUGAGAGGCAUAGGCCAAAGUGUCAGGGCAUCUGCUGUCUGCUUUCCUGCACAUACUGCUUGGCAGAGCACAAUCCCUUAGUCUUUCUCCACUUCCAUUAAUUGUACCUUCAAAAUCAGAUGCAGAGUGUCAUCCUACAGAUGUUUUGCCAUGUCCUUCCAAGAGCAGCAUUCUCUCCUGCUCUCUCUUUUUCCCUUUCCUUCUUCUUCCUUUUUUUCCUUUUCUUUUUUUUUUUUUUUCCUUUUUCUUUUAAGCAGCCCUUAUUGUCAAAUAAUCAGAAAUACUUUUCAUUGCUGCUGGUCUUUUUGUCAAAAGAUUCCUAGGCCAAAGGUUCACUUUGGUUCUGUUAAUGACAGUGGGAAAUGAGACAUCAUAUCAAAAUGUUGGUAGAGAUGAAGGGCACUGGUGGAUCCCCACAAUUCUGUGUCACCUGUACAAGACCCAUAGGCUCAGUAACGUAGUAAGAUAAUGUAGCACGUGAUUGCAAUGGCUGUAUUGCACUUAUGGAAGGCACCUUAUCAUGGGGCUCCACAUAUCUCAAGUAAUAACUGCUGAUGUCAGGUAAGACAACGGUAAUGGGAGCAGAUAAUUCUCCUGUUGUUAAAACGCUAUAAAUGUCUUAAUUACAUGAAAUUUAGCUAGAUCUAGUGCUGGUGGCUGGAGGGAACAUCCUUCUGAGGUUCAGCCUUUCUCUUGGUCUGAACAGAGCUAUUUAAAGAAGUAAGAAUUAUAUGUAAUUAUUACCCAUCGUGAGUUUCCAGGCAGCAAGGUUACCACAUGAAACUGCCGUUCAGACGUUCUCAUUUGUCCCAGGAAGCUUGAACAAAGAUCUAUAAUCUGCUCUGAACUUAACGAGCUUCCUUCAGUGGUGAAGCCCCUUGAGGCACACGAGCUGUCUUCUGCACAGUUGUACAGCUACCUAACACAGUGCUCACUCCCUUAUGGAUGUAGCAGACAACUUGUGUUUGGCCCCUACCCCACAUUCCUGUCAGUCACAGGCUAAGUUCUAGCCAUAUUGCAAGAACAUCCUAAACCAGUCUGCAAUUUGUAUUUCCUUGCCAAAGAUCUUAUCUGCUGCGGGUGCAAGUUGCACCAGAAAGGUUGCUGGUGUUGAAAAAUGUGCACUCUUCUGUUCUGCAGCUCUGCCUUGUCAGGCUGGGUUAACUCACCCAAAAGAGCUGGACUGAGCUGUCCUGUGAGAAAGCUCACGCAGCAAGGCAACACUGUUCUGAUCAUUGGGCACUUGCAGAUUAUUGUUCUUAGGAGCAGGCUGUACUUUUGCCAUCAUGUCAGGCUCUGAACUGCAUUUCUGCAGAAGUUCAUGCUUUGUAUUCCUAUGUUUGCAAAAAUGACAAAUUGAGAGUAAAAAUUUGUUCAAAUUAAUUGCUAUUUAUAUAUUUACAGGAAAAAAAAAAAGUAUGCCAGGGAUCCAAUGACCCUGUGAGAGAUGUGGUGUGGAUUUCAGUGGGGUGUGGAUUGGGCCUCAAAAGCUGCUGAUCUCAGUCCCCUGAUACUAUCAUGAAAACUUUCCAUCUACAGCAACAGAUGCCACAGGGGGUUUAUAUUUGGAUAUUAUUAAUUCCUUCCUUAGGAGUGUUUAUUAACAAAUGCUUGCAAAUUGUAUGAUGUGGUGUGGUGUAAACAGGAAGCACUCCAAGGUAUUGCGUUGCCCAUGUAAUGCAACACAUAUUCCAACAGCUUGGCUUUUUUUUCAAAAUACUGCAACACCAAUUCCUUCAAGAAAUCUCUCCUGUCUGCACAGCUCGUUUCUGCCAUAGACAUGCAAAGCUGCAGAAGAGCCAAUUGUCUUAAAAAUGAAUGUUGAUUUGCUAGAUCGGGAACCGACGUCUGCAACUUAUAUCCCACCUUGAAAGUUAUGCAGUACAGACUCUUUGGGUGCUCUGAUCAGUGGAUUGAACAAAGCACAAGAGAAGAGGCUUUCCUUUCCUGCAGCACAGUGCUGCGUGGAGAGCAGCGAUGCAGAUUGCCCUGCAGGUACUGCAGCACCUCUCAGCCCCAAACCUGGGGCAGUGCCUCUUCUGCCACUGUGCCAGCAGGCUGGGCUCUGACUCGUGCAGGGAAAUAGCUGUUCAUUUCCAGUCAGCUCUUGUUGUCUGCCAAGAGCAGCAAUGGGAAAGCUAAGAGUGUCUGUUCAUAAGUGGAAACUUUAUAAUCAGAAUAAUGGUGCUGAGGCCUCCAAGCUGUCUCAUAAAGGCUCCAUGCUCUUGUUGUGUGAUGUACCAGUGUUGUCUGUGUUCUGAGUCCUGGUAGCUUUUAUAUCAGCAUCUCAGAAUCCCAUUGGCACAGUUUCCUAUGCCUUGUUCAGCCAGUGCUAUGUGCAACAGGAGCAGACAGUGGGGAAUUACACUUGUGCCACCACAAAAUCACUGUGUGUGUGGUUGUUAUAAACCAAAAUGAGUGGUAAGAACAUCACCUGAAAUGAAGUUCUAGGGGCUCUGUUUUGAAGGUUUGGUGUCAUUUCCCAGACUGGUUCUCAGUGAAGGUGCUUCUGUGUCUGCCCCAAGUGCAGAUGCAACUGGGCUAAUAUCAGGACUGAUGCUUUCUCCUCUAUCCUCACAUCAGUCAACCUCUUCAUCACGUGUGCUCCCUUGAUUUCUUAACUAUGAGCAAGAAAGAAUGAAAAUGAAAUUGCUGCAAUAAAACCACACAAAACCCCAAUAAUCCUGUGUCUACAUGCUCUAACUUCUGCCUUUAUUGGAGGCAUGCCUUGUCCGGCAUGAAGCUGAACUGAGGGUGAGUGGGGGAAACAGACGGCGUAUUUAAGUAUUUGUAAAUCGUGAGCCUUGUGAGGUUUUGUAAUGAUCUUACUGCCUGAUUUGUACGUUCAUGUAUUUGUCUAGCAACGGAUGAUAUCAGAAACAGUGAUCAGGAGGCUGAUAUUACACACUAAGUCUGUUCUGCAAAAUCUCAAUAGCCUUUUGGUGCAUGGAGCUUUGGCACAUGCAAACUGUGAUUGCAGCGACAUCCUUGUAAGUCUGUGCAAACACUGACUGCAUGUGUUUUGUCACUCCUGUAGGACAACUUUGGUUCAGUAUUUGCAUCAUCCACAGCUUGUUUACAGAAUUUGAAGUCUUGAACAAAGUGAAGCUAGCUGAUGAGGAGAAGCUGGUUUUCAAAAGGUACAAGCUCCAGAUAAGUGAGGACAAGUGAAGCACACAACAAUAUAGAAAUCACUCGGUUUUACUGCAGCCAACUGAGACGGAGUGUGCUUUGGAGCUGGGAAAUUUCCAUUCCUGAAGUGCGGGACGGUGCCUGGAUACUGCUGCAACUGCAGCUGAGAAAUAAAAGCAACUUAAUCUUACAUAGCAGCAAAAUGUCAGUACGUUAAUUAAAAUUGAUAGAGUUUUAUAAGAUUUUAAGGUUGCUGUAAAAUUGAUUCCUUCUAGAAUAUUUAGAAAAUAACUGUAAAUUACUUUUAUAGAAAUGAAGAGUGUUAAAAGGACUUGAAAUUGCACCUAGGCUUUCAAGCUGUAUCCUAUUUGUGGACAUCAGAUCUGACAAGAACGUGACACUACAUCCCCUACAACAGUGACAAUGUGACAGUGGCAGAACGAUAUGCAGUGUGAGAUCAAGGUUGUUACGGACAAUGUAGUUCUGCAGCUAAUAAAUGUUCUUGCUCUCUGUGGCAUGUUCAAAACAAAUAUAGCUAUCUGUUUACCACUUUUAAGUCCAUAAUCUAUAAACCACCAUAAGCUUCCUGUAAAGUCAGUCAGAAUGCUGAGCAGGGAAGAAACAAAUACUGGGGGCAAAAAAAAGUGAGUUCGUUUUGGCAUCAAACUGCCCUGCUCUUUGGGCAAGAUACUGCUUUUAACUUCCCAACGGCAUAAAAUUACAGAGAUUCUCAUUUACAUUGAGGUCACUUUACAUUGCUGAAGCAGCGGAUGACAUUUAAAUGAAAAUCUGCCCCGUGGGCUUUCAGCUAUAUGUCACUGGUUAAAUCGGGCCCAGGUAGGUUCAGACUAGAAGUUAUUAGCAUCUGAUGCUCUUUAUGAAUCUUAGGAUGGUUCCCAGCGGAUCAGAGCUCAUAUCUGAGCAAUUUAAGUUUGUGUCACAUUCAUCACCAUGGUUCCUGACUGCCUUAGAAGUUAAAAUACAUCUUUAUAAAACGCCUUACAUGUCUUAGUUCUUUUUCUUUUCCUCCACGCAGAGGCUUGAAGUCUCUUUAAAUAACGCUGGGAAAAUUGCUUUCUGCACUGAAUGUCUGUGUUUGGUUUGGAUGAUGGGUGGGUCAGGGUCACCCCAAAGUACUGUGAACACAAACUAUGUGCUUCUGCAGCAGAUGCCAGCAGAGCUGUGCCUCCAAUGUCCCCACACAAAUAAUGCAACUAAAGUGGUGAUGAUUUCAGGAGAGGUAGUUUUAACUUUAGCAGAAAAAAAUGAAAUCUCCAAUAACCAACAUUGUAGGGCAGCUGUGUGCUGUUCUUUUUCUAAGCCUGAUUAUGCUGUUCCCAGGAGCAGUGGGGCUCUCAUAGUAUGUCCAAACCGCGGCACGUUUAACCUCUCCUACGGUAAGGCUUACCGUUUCCUAAUACAGCCUUCAAACACAAGGCCGCGCUUCUGUCUGGAAGAAUCUUCUCAUUGCUGGUUUUAUUUCUACCGGAUGCAUGGAAACAUUCUUUCCUCUCUGCUUUUCAUUAUCUGCUAUCAUUUCGUGAUAUCAGUGUCCCCAAUAUAACCCAAUAUUUUGACCAUCAAACUAAUAAUGUCCUUAAAACUCAUUUACAUUCUUUCUAGAAUUGAUACUUUAAUGUCACCUCGCUAAAGUAGAAGACACAGCAAGUGUGGGUAAUUGCAGUGUAUUUAAAGGGGCUGAAAAGCAGUUGGUAACAUUUGUAUUGUCCUGCUGAAUUCAAUAACUGUACUGCUUCACUGAAAGGCUUACAUGGCCUUCUGUCACAAGAGAGAUGGUUGGCAAAGCACACCAUAGCCUUCUGACCUCUCGUUUGGCUCUAACUGGAUUAAACACAUAUGGGACUGCAGCAUUCACAGGAGUUGAGGGAUCUCCCACACUUCCUGGCGCUUGGUUUCCUUUUCUGUUCUGCCACACCUCAGCGCAGGCAGGAAUGUCAUCCAGAUGCGGCAGCUUCGAUUCAGUGUCGCUCCUGCAGGCUCUGUUUAAGCCGGUUUCCCAGCAAUCGUUGGUUCUGAGUUUGCCCAGGGCAGAUUUACUGAAGUAACCAGAACUGUAACUAUCAUUCAUUUUCGGAGUGGAGAGCCAUGGAAAUCACGUUGGACUUAGUUUCAGGAAAUUUCAGCAAUUAUUCCCAUUGACUGCUGUCCAAAUUUCCUGAGAGAAAUGAAGCAGUGCUUCGAGGCAGAGCACGCGGGGAAGCACGAUGUGCACGGCUCACGGCUGCUAAACGCAGGCAGGACGCGACGUCCUCCCGGCCAGCUCUGUGAGCAGCACGCGAAAACGGAACAGCCAGGCAGGGCCGGGAGAAACCUGCAGGGCGACGGCGGGGAGAGCCCAGCGGCAGCCGAAGCCCGGAGGAGUCGCAGCCCCGCAGGGCCCGCGGGGCAACCGAUGCCGAACGGCCAAACUCACGAACCGAGGAACGGCUCCGGGAGGCGCGGAAGACGGAACUCCGCCGCGGAAAGCCGCCCCGCUGCGCGGAGCGGCUCUGAGGCCACAGCAGCCUCGUACCGGGUCCGCAGCCCCUCCUCGGGCCGCCACCCGAUCCCGCCGCAGCCCCGCCCGGUGCGGGCUCCAUUUCCUGCCCCGCCGUCACCUGACGCCUCUAAUGGCGCCGCGCGGCCCGCGGUGCCGCCGCGCCCACCACGUGACACCCCGACCACGUGACCUGCGCGCCGCGCGCCGCACCCCUUCCCCGGCGGCUGCGGUUGCCGCAGUCCUAAGCUCCGCCCCUCCCGGCGCGAGCUC